rnacentral:tRNA from 1 species
GAGGGUGUAUCUCAGCAGUAGAGUGCAUACCUAGCAUGCACGAGGUCCUGGGUUCAAUCCCCAGUGCCUCCA